AUGGCUAACUCCAGUUGAGACACACGUUCAGCAAGUGUCGGACAUACGAUCUCCAGGCGUGAACGUCGCUACAUUGAACCCGUGAAACGCCUGGAACCUGCAGUUGUCGUCCAGGGGCUUUGGCAGACUUUCGUGUGCAGCUACAGGUUGAGGUGGUAUUGGACGUGCUGGGCACAGGCACGGAAGGCGCUGCCCGCAACCUGAGCAUUGGUUGGACUUGGCGUCUUCCAAGCCAGCUGGUAGGUAUGGGCGCUCCAUGGCGCGCGCACACACACACACACACACAGGAGGUACUCGGUAUUAGACGCGAACUGGUCGAUGUACUAGAGUGAGCGCCUGAUACGCGAGCACCGCAAAAACCCUGUCCAAAGUUCGGAGUGAAGCUCGGGAAACGUGCUCGUAGCGCUUGGCGGAAAGAGCUGUUGUUGGUACUGGUGGUCGUCCCACAACGGUGCUCUGUGAGAGGUGCACUUUGGAAUGCUUGUAGCAGCUGGUGAUUCUCGGCUUUCACUGGAUUCUCUCCUGUGCAGCAUGGAAGGCAUGUCCGUGGAUUUACAGAAGAGUCGGUGAAGUACGUUACAAUGUCAUUGGUAGCUUGCGAGAAAAGCCUCUUGGGUUCUGCGACUCAGACAUUCGAUGGUUAGCAGGUGGAUGAACCAAUCGUCUCUUUGUCGUUACCCCGAAGGGCGCUUACGCAAAACAGAACUUUACAAACGGAAUCUGAACGGCUGCCUCGUCGUGAAUCCAUUCCACUGCAUACGUUUUCUUGUUAAAAAUACGAACAAAACAGCCACAUCAUGUAAAGCUUUCUCCCUUUGAUACCAGCGGCGAUGAAGAAACACCGAUGGACAGACAAAAACGGGUGUUUCUGUCGGAGACCGUCGUGCGUUGCUCAGCCUACAAUCGAUUUCGAAAUGGACUGCGAACGCUUUUGGCAGUAUGGACGGAGGUUCGUCUCAGCCAAUGGUAGUUUAUUGGGGAGGAACGCUAGAGCCGAACACGAGGACUCAAAGCGGGACAAGUAUUUGGUCGUUACGAAGCGAAACGCGGUAUUGACGACAAGAUCAACGCGACUGGCGAUUCUAUCGGGUGGAUGUAUCCAAAUUACCGUUCGGGUAGCAGCGAUCAAGAGCUCGCGGUUCGUCGAGGUACUCUUCGCGGCUUCUGAUUCCCACAUUCAUCUGGUUCGCUCUUGGAUUACGUCGCUUUUUAUCACUCAAAAGCCGUCAUGGAGCACGAAGCUGUGAUGAGCGUCGAGCUGCCCUGUAUGGCGCCUUCAGGCUCCAGGUUCAGUCCGGUCAAAGUCGUAUUCUCUAUGGCCGCACGUGAUGCUUUCGCCCAGUGAUCAAGAGAAGAGUCGUUCGCACACGUGAUAACGAAACAUGCAGCACGCAAUCAGGAUUUGGAUCGCUUCCUAAUCGAGGAAUUCUCGCUUCGCUUCCCUCGAAUCGAAGCAUCUCAUCAACCAACUGUUUGUACGAGGUACCGCCGUAAGGCUCUUAGCUAUCCUCAUUCGUUUGGCAUAAUGCAAUCCAAACGUCGUUCAUACACCGAUGCUUGGGAGCAGGAGACGCAAUACAGCCUCAUGAUAGGAUCAGAGAUUCGCGCAGAAGCUUCCUGGAAUACGGUGACGCGUCGUCGUGGCGCACGUCACCGGUCAGGACUUGGAAAGCGCAGGCGCCAGCAACAAGAAACCAACCUCGUAAACGAUAUCGAGGGUCAGUCUCGUGCGCUUCAUGCGGUAUGCCCCGUGAGCGGUGUACCCGAGCGUUGCUCAACGCACUGGCACAGAACGGGGGCACUGCUACAAGGCACCCUCAGCGUGUCGAUGGACACAAAUGAGGAGCUGAUGCAGGAAGAGCUCGGCGUGGUAACGAGUUCAGCACAGAUGUUGCAACGAGAGCGAGCGUUGCUUCAGAUCGUCCGAGCUCAUGGUGUUGGUGUGGGCUUCGGACAGACGGACGUCUUACGCGAAGGAUCAUUGGAGCGUGAUGCCUAGCCUGCUUCAGUCUUGCGCUGCAAUUUUGUCUCGUACAGAUCCCUUUAGAGCAACGCAGACUCGCUUACCCAGUGCGAGUGCCACAGCUUCUCCAAGCGUCUAUUCGAGACGGUCUCUGUAUGCCACAUCAAGUCCUUUUGUAAUCCAAUGGAUACCUGUGGAAUGUAGUGAAUGGCCUCCGUCAUGGCGGCGGCUCGUCCGCACGAACAAGCGAGGAGCCUUCGAACAAGCUCGCAAAAGACAUUGGCGGAGCUCAUGCCAGGUUUUCUCGUUCGCGGACUGAAUUGGAAAGCGGUUCACAGUGACGAUAGAUACGGAAGGACGAUGCAUCUGCAGGCAUUCUUGUGAAACCUCGACCUCAGUCAGGCAACGUAGCUUUUUCUAAACUGUUCAAGGUAGAUAAAGAGGGAGACUUUGCUGGGG